rnacentral:rRNA from 1 species
GAACACCGGAGCUUGCUCUGGUGGGAUUAGUGGCGAACGGGUGAGUAACACGUGAGCAAUCUGCCCCCGACUCUGGGAUAACCCCGAGAAAUCGGAGCUAAUACCGGAUACGACACCUCCUGGCAUCAGGUGGGUGUGGAAGGAAUUUCGGUUGGGGAUGAGCUCGCGGCCUAUCAGCUUGUUGGUGAGGUAAUGGCUCACCAAGGCGACGACGGGUAGCCGGCCUGAGAGGGUGACCGGCCACACUGGGACUGAGACACGGCCCAGACACCUACGGGUGGCUGCAGUCGAGAAUCUUCGGCAAUGGACGAAAGUCUGACCGAGCGACGCCGCGUGCGGGAUGAAGGCCCUCGGGUUGUAAACCGCUGUCAGUAGUUAGGAAGUCCAUGAGGAUUAUCUCUCAUGGUUGACCGAUCUUCAGAGGAAGGACGGGCUAAGUUCGUGCCAGCAGCCGCGGUAAGACGAACCGUCCAAACGUUAUUCGGUAUCACUGGGCUUAAAGCGUGCGUAGGCGGCUUGGUAGGUGAGAUGUGAAAGCCCACGGCUCAACCAUGGAAUUGCGUUUCAAACCCCCAAGCUCGAGGAAGAUAGGGGUGAUGGGAACUUAUGGUGGAGCGGGAAAUGCGUUGAUAUCAUAGGGAACACCGGUGGCGAAAGCGCAUCACUGGAUCUUUUCUGACGCUGAGGCACGAAAGCUAGGGUAGCGAACGGGAUUAGAUACCCCGGUAGUCCUAGCCGUAAACGAUGAACACUGGGUUGAGGGGACUUCAACAUCCUCUCGGCCGUAGCGAAAGCGUUAAGUGUUCCGCCUGGGGAGUAUGGUCGCAAGGCUGAAACUCAAAGGAAUUGACGGGGGCUCACACAAGCGGUGGAGGAUGUGGCUUAAUUCGAUGCUACGCGAAGAACCUUAUCCCUAGAUUUGACAUGCUUGAGA